rnacentral:rRNA from 1 species
GUGGGAGGCUUUGAAGCGUGGACGCCAGUCUGCGUGGAGCCGCCCUUGAAAUACCACCCUUUAAUGGCUGGUGUUCUAACGUAGACCCGUGAUCCGGGUUGCGGACAGUGUCUGGUGGGUAGUUUGACUGGGGCGGUCUCCUCCCAAAGAGUAACGGAGGAGCACGAAGGUUGGCUAAUCCUGGUCGGACAUCAGGAGGUUAGUGCAAUGGCAUAAGCCAGCUUGACUGCGAGCGUGACGGCGCGAGCAGGUGCGAAAGCAGGUCAUAGUGAUCCGGUGGUUCUGAAUGGAAGGGCCAUCGCUCAACGGAUAAAAGGUACUCCGGGGAUAACAGGCUGAUACCGCCCAAGAGUUCAUAUCGACGGCGGUGUUUGGCACCUCGAUGUCGGCUCAUCACAUCCUGGGGCUGAAGUAGGUCCCAAGGGUAUGGCUGUUCGCCAUUUAAAGUGGUACGCGAGCUGGGUUUAGAACGUCGUGAGACAGUUCGGUCCCUAUCUGCCGUGGGCGCUGGAGAAUUGAGGGGGGCUGCUCCUAGUACGAGAGGACCGGAGUGGACGCAUCACUGGUGUUCGGGUUGUCAUGCCAAUGGCACUGCCCGGUAGCUAAAUGCGGAAGAGAUAAGUGCUGAAAGCAUCUAAGCACGAAACUUGCCCC